GUGAAUCAUCGAAUUUUUGAACGCAAAUUGCACUCUCUGGUAUCCCGGAGAGUAUGCCUGUUUGAGGGUCAGUUUAAAUAAAAAUCGGUGUGGUCGCUGCCUUUCGUGGUGACGCACGGGUUUUCGGUCGUAUUGCCUUCGGUUAAGUGACUUAAAAUUUUGCAUGAUUUUUUUCGAAUGUAUUUAAAUGAUUUUACGUACGUUUUCGAUACCUAAUACUAGGUGUUGACAUCCUCAU
rnacentral:misc_RNA from 1 species